UACGUAGGUGGCAAGCGUUGUCCGGAUUUACUGGGCGUAAAGAGCGCGCAGGCGGUCGAUCAAGUCGCGUGUGAAAGCCCCCCGGCUCAACUGGGGAGGGUCACGCGAUACUGAUCGACUCGAAGGCGGGAGAGGGUAGUGGAAUUCCCGGUGUAGUGGUGAAAUGCGUAGAUAUCGGGAGGAACACCAGUGGCGAAGGCGACUACCUGGCCUGUUCUUGACGCUGAGGCGCGAAAGCGUGGGGAGCAAACAGG
rnacentral:rRNA from 1 species